rnacentral:rRNA from 1 species
AUUGAACGCUGGCGGCAGGCCUAACACAUGCAAGUCGAGCGGAUGAAGGGAGCUUGCUCCUGGAUUCAGCGGCGGACGGGUGAGUAAUGCCUAGGAAUCUGCCUGGUAGUUGGGGAUAACGUCCGGAAACGGGCGCUAAUACCGCAUACGUCCUGAGGGAGAAAGUGGGGGAUCUUCGGACCUCACGCUAUCAGAUGAGCCUAGGUCGGAUUAGCUAGUGGGUGGGGUAAAGGCCUACCAAGGCGACGAUCCGUAACUGGUCUGAGAGGAUGAUCAGUCACACUGGAACUGAGACACGGUCCAGACUCCUACGGGAGGCAGCAGUGGGGAAUAUUGGACAAUGGGCGAAAGCCUGAUCCAGCCAUGCCGCGUGUGUGAAGAAGGUCUUCGGAUUGUAAAGCACUUUAAGUUGGGAGGAAGGGCAGUAAGUUAAUACCUUGCUGUUUUGACGUUACCAACAGAAUAAGCACCGGCUAACUUCGUG